AACGAACGCUGGCGGCAUGCCUAACACAUGCCAGUCGAACGAUGCCUUCGGGCAUAGUGGCGCACGGGUGCGUAACGCGUGGGAAUCUGCCUUUCGGUUCGGAAUAACUCAGGGAAACUUGAGCUAAUACCGGAUAACGUCGCAAGACCAAAGAUUUAUCAUCGAAAGAUGAGCCCGCGUAGGAUUAGCUAGUUGGUGAGGUAAAGGCUCACCAAGGCGACGAUCCUUAGCUGGUCUGAGAGGAUGAUCAGCCACACUGGGACUGAGACACGGCCCAGACUCCUACGGGAGGCAGCAGUGGGGAAUAUUGGACAAUGGGCGAAAGCCUGAUCCAGCAAUGCCGCGUGAGUGAUGAAGGCCUUAGGGUUGUAAAGCUCUUUUACCCGGGAAGAUAAUGACGGUACCGGGAGAAUAAGCCCCGGCUAACUCCGUG
rnacentral:rRNA from 1 species